rnacentral:rRNA from 1 species
UACAGAGGCCUCAAGCGUUGUUCGGAUUCAUUGGGCGUAAAGGGUGCGUAGGUGGCUUGUUAAGUUGAAGGUGAAAUCUCGGGGCUCAACUCCGAAACUGCCUUCAAUACUGGCGAGCUCGAGGACUGUAGAGGAGAAUGGAAUUCACGGUGUAGCAGUGAAAUGCGUAGAUAUCGUGAGGAAGACCAGUGGCGAAGGCGAUUCUCUGGGCAGUUCCUGACACUGAGGCACGAAGGCCAGGGGAGCAAACGGG